rnacentral:rRNA from 1 species
AGUAAAUAGAUACCCGGGUAGUCCACGCCGUAAACGAUGUCGACUUGGAGGUUGUGCCCUUGAGGCGUGGCUUCCGGAGCUAAACGCGUUAAAGUCGACCGCCUGGGGAGUACGGCCGCAAGGUUAAAACUCAAAUGAAUUGACGGGGGCCCGCACAAGCGGUGGAGCAUGUGGUUUAAUUCGAUGCAACGCGAAGAACCUUACCUACUCUUGACAUCCAGUGAACUUAGCAGAGAUGCUUUGGUGCCUUCGGGAACUCUGAGACAGGUGCUGCAUGGCUGUCGUCAGCUCGUGUUGUGAAAUGUUGGGUUAAGUCCCGCAACGAGCGCAACCCUUAUCCUUUGUUGCCAGCGGUUAGGCCGGGAACUCAAAGGAGACUGCCAGUGAUAAACUGGAGGAAGGUGGGGAUGACGUCAAGUCAUCAUGGCCCUUACGAGUAGGGCUACACACGUGCUACAAUGGCGCAUACAAAGAGAAGCGACCUCGCGAGAGCAAGCGGACCUCAUAAAGUGCGUCGUAGUCCGGAUUGGAGU